rnacentral:tRNA from 1 species
GCCUCGGUGGGGUCACUGGUAGGCAUUUGGACUCACAAUCCAAAUGUCGUCAGUUCGAAUCCCGAGGUG